rnacentral:tRNA from 1 species
GCAUAUAUGGCCGAGUGGUCGAAGGCAGGGGCCUCAUAAGCCUCCACCCAUUAGGGCAUCGCUGGUUCGAAUCCAGCUAUAUGCA